GGUGGCUCAGUGGUAGAACGCUUGCCUUGCAUGCAUGAAGCCCUGAGUUCGAUUCCUCAGCACCA
rfam:Dipodomys ordii contig_55392, whole genome shotgun sequence.